rnacentral:rRNA from 1 species
UACAGAGGGUGCGAGCGUUGUUCGGAAUUAUUGGGCGUAAAGGGCGCGUAGGCGGUGCCACAAGUCACUUGUGAAAUCUCCGGGCUUAACCCGGAGCCUGCAGGCGAAACUGUGGUGCUGGAGUGUGGGAGAGGUGCGUGGAAUUCCCGGUGUAGCGGUGAAAUGCGUAGAUAUCAGGAGGAACACCGGCGGUGUAGACGGCUUGCUAGACCAUAACUGACGCUGAGGCGCGAAAGCUAGGGGAGCAAACAGG